AGGGCUCACAAAGACUCUGAGGUAGCGCUGGAUGCUCAGAAGUAUGUGGCCUUUGUCCAAGUGCUUUCCAAACAUGGCAAGCUGGAAGAGGCGAUCGAUAUGCUGAAGGAAAUGAAGGAGAAGGAUGUGCAGUUAAGGGACAGCACAAUCAGUUUGCUCACCCUCACGAUGAAUACCGCUGCGAUGAAAGGAGAUGCCAACACUAUAUGGCGUCUCCAGGAGACAAUCUUCACUUUGGGUCUGGCCAAACCAUCCAGUAACCCAUGCUCACCCCUCAUUACUUGCUAUCUGGAGAGUCAUGGAGUUUUUGAGUCAGGAGCGAGGUGAGAUGAUGAUGCUCUACGACCUUUACUUUGCGUUCCCGCAAACGGGCCGCUACAAGGAGGCACGCUAAAUCAUUGAGAUGGAGCCCCUUGAGAACAUGGUGGACACGACUGUCAAGCUGUUUGAGUGUGUCAGAGAUGACAUGUACCACUAUUUGUUACGCCUCUGCAAGGAGACCAAUGACUGGCAAAAGGCUGAGGCAACUUGAAUGAAAAUGCAAGAGGACAAUUUGGCUCCAAGAUAGAAGACCCUGCGUUUGCUUGCUGAUAUCCUGAAAAACAAUGACACAAAGAGGUGCCUUUUGAGGUGCCUGAAGUAAAAGA